AACGAACGCUGGCGGCAUGCCUAACACAUGCCAGUCGAACGAUACCUUCGGGUCUAGUGGCGCACGGUUGCGUAACGCCUUGGAACCUUCCCUUAUGUUCUGAAUAACUCCCCGACAGGGUUCCUAUUACCGGUUAAUGUCUUCGGACCAAAGAUUUGUCGGCUUUUUAUGUGCCCGCUUUGGAUUCUCUAGUUGGUAGGGUAAAAGCCUACCAAGGCUAAGAUCCAUAGCUGGUCUGAGAGGAUGAAAAGCCACAAUGGAACUGAGACACGGCCCAGACUCCUACGGGAGGCAGCAGUGGGGAAUAUUGGAAAAUGGAGGAAAGCCUGAUGCAGCAAUGCCGCGUGAGUGAUGAAGGAAUUAGGGUAGUAAAGCUCUUUUAAACGGGAAGAAAAUGACAGUACCGGGAGAAAAAGCUCCGGCUAACUACGUG
rnacentral:rRNA from 1 species